GCAGGGAAGCAUCUGACAGCCAGCUCAGUGUUUAUAAGAGCAAGAACGAUGCCCCAAUGUCCCGAGAAGAAGCAGAGGGGGAGGGGGAGAUCCCUGCUCUCCCCUGCACUGAUCACAAUCUGACAGCAGGUCUCCCUGACAGUCCGCUCUCCCCUGCACAUGUAUCCACCCGGACUGGAAUAAAGAAAUCCUGCUGCUUAUUACGGUACCCGGCCAUUUUCCUACCUGCAGACUGAUCACCUACAUUGCUGGCAUAGAGACUG